GGGCCCGCACAAGCGGUGGAUUAUGUGGAUUAAUUCGAUGCAACGCGAAAAAACCUUACCUGGCCUUGACAUGUACCGAAUUUAGCAGAGAUGCUUUAGUGCUCGUAAGAGAACGGUAACACAGGUGCUGCAUGGCUGUCGUCAGCUCGUGUCGUGAGAUGUUGGUUAAGUCCCGCAACGAGCGCAACCCUUGCCAUUAAUUGCCAUCAUUUAGUUGGGCACUUUAAUGGGACUGCCGGUGACAAACCGGAGGAAGGUGGGGAUGACGUCAAGUCCUCAUGGCCCUUAUGGCCAGGGCUUCACACGUAAUACAAUGGUCGGUACAGAGGGCUGCUAACCCGCGAGGGGGUGCU
rnacentral:rRNA from 1 species